CCUACGGGAGGCAGCAGUGAGGAAUAUUGGUCAAUGGACGGAAGUCUGAACCAGCCAAGCCGCGUGCGGGAAGACGGCUCUAUGGGUUGUAAACUUCUUUUGUACGGGAAGAAACACUGCUACUCGUAGCCUGAUGAGUGUAUCUUACGAAUAAGGAUCGGCUAACUCCGUGCCAGCAGCCGCGGUAAUACGGAGGAUUCGAGCGUUAUCCGGAUUUAUUGGGUUUAAAGGGUGCGUAGGCGGUCUGAUAAGUUAGAGGUGAAAUCCCGGGGCUCAACCCCGGAAUUGCCUCUGAUACUGUUAGGCUAGAGAGCAGUAGAGGUAGGCGGAAUGUAUGGUGUAGCGGUGAAAUGCUUAGAGAUCACGCAGAACACCGAUUGCGAAGGCAGCUUACCAAGCUACUACUGACGUUGAGGCACGAAAGCGUGGGGAGCAAACAGGAUUAGAUACCCGUGUAGUC
rnacentral:rRNA from 1 species